rnacentral:lncRNA from 1 species
UGCAUUAGGCCGUGGGCUGUUGUGUGAAAAAGUGCCUAGAAAAGCAAUUUCGUGGCACCCUCCUGGGAAAUAGAUUUUCUGUGGUUCAAUUCAUAGAACCAUAGAUGCUUAAUUACCACAAAAAGUUCCCAAGCAAAAAACUUGCCCAACACCGAGAAAAUGGGUGAUCAGUGACUAUCCUCUAUUAAAUUGUAUUACAGCAAGAAAAUGUAAAAUUUUGUAUUCAA